rnacentral:sRNA from 1 species
UGACCACUUUCACUUUGGAAAGUUAAGGCCAUGCGGACAGCCGGGUCAACUGCCGA